UAGGGAAUCUUCCACAAUGGACGAAAGUCUGAUGGAGCAACGCCGCGUGAGUGAAGAAGGGUUUCGGCUCGUAAAACUCUGUUGUUAAAGAAGAACAUAUCUGUGAGUAACUGUUCAGGUAUUGACGGUAUUUAACCAGAAAGCCACGGCUAACUACGUGCCAC
rnacentral:rRNA from 1 species